rnacentral:rRNA from 1 species
UACGUAGGAGGCAAGCGUUGUCCGGAAUCAUUGGGCGUAAAGCGCGCGUAGGCGGCCCGGUAAGUCCGUUGUGAAAGUCAAAGGCUCAACCUUUGAACGCCGAUGGAUACUGCCGGGCUAGAGUCCGGAAGAGGAGAGUGGAAUUCCUGGUGUAGCGGUGAAAUGCGCAGAUAUCAGGAAGAACACCAAUGGCGAAGGCAGCUCUCUGGGACGGUACUGACGCUGAGACGCGAAAGCGUGGGGAGCGAACAGG